rnacentral:rRNA from 1 species
GACGAACGCUGGCGGCGUGCUUAACACAUGCAAGUCGAACGGAAAGGCCCUGCUUUUGUGGGGUGCUCGAGGGGCGAACGGGUGAGUAACACGUGAGUAACCUGCCCUUGACUUUGGGAUAACUUCAGGAAACUGGGGCUAAUACCGGAUAGGAGCUGCUGCUGCAUGGAGGGGGUUGGAAAGUUUCGGCGGGUGGGGAUGGACGCGCGGCUUAUCAGCUUGUUGGUGGGGGAGGGGAUUACCAAGGGUUUGACGGGUAGCCGGCCGGAGAGGGUGACCGGCCACAUUGGGCCUGCGAUACGGCCCAGACUCCUACGUGAGGCAGCAGUGGGGAAUAUUGCACAAUGGGCGGAAGCCUGUUGCAGAAACGCCGCGUGCGGGAUGACGGCCUUCGGGUUGUAAACCGCUUUCGCCUGUGACGAAGCGUGAGUGACGGUACUGGGUAAAGAAGCACCGGCUAACUACGUG